rnacentral:rRNA from 1 species
UACGGAGGAUGCGAGCGUUAUCCGGAUUUAUUGGGUUUAAAGGGUGCGCAGGCGGCACGGCAAGCCGGCGGUCAAAUCGCGGGGCUCAACCCCGCCCAGCCGUCGGAACUGCCGGGCUAGAGUGGGCGAGAAGUGCGCGGAAUGCGUGGUGUAGCGGUGAAAUGCAUAGAUAUCACGCAGAACUCCGAUUGCGAAGGCAGCGCACCGGCGCCCUACUGACGCUCAGGCACGAAAGCGAGGGUAUCGAACAGG